CAUGAGUACAAUUCAAGAGCACAAUAAUGAACAUAGGACAGCUUUUAAAUAAUUUCUUAGCUCUUUGGUUAACUAAAUCUGUGUUCAACUUGCCUAUCUCUCAUUUUAAGUGUCUUUUUUAUGAAAACCUUUUAUUUUUUCCAGAAGCAAAAAAAGCAAGUUUCAAAGUAUAAAGCUCACUGUUGGAUUUUUGUUUCUGGUACUUUUCCUUUUUCGUAGAACAUCUGUCUCACUUUGGAAGUAUAAAUCCAAAAGACCUGAACAUGAAUACUCAUGGAAUUCUGAUGAACAAGAGCUUUCUAAAAGCACGUCCCCAAAUUCUUACCUCUGCAAGGUGAAGGCCUGCUAUGUAUAAAUUCUAUUUUCAUUUCACUCACAUAUAUUCACAUUUAAGGCUGAAUGGUGAAAACAGAGUAAGACACAAUGUGGGGGUGGGGCAGAAAUGAAUUGCUGUGUAUGCUGUUGUUUUUAGUGGCUACCUCCCCUAGUCCUUAAACUGUCACUGACGAGCAGCUUUGAACAAGCUGCAAAACCCCAAAAGGUCGUAACCCAGGAGGGGAGAGACUCCAGGAACGUGCACCAGGGAAGAUGCAGAUGCAUAAACAAGCCAUAAAGUGCCCCACAUUUUCUCUUUUCCAUCAUUUCAUUGAAGAGUUGACCCCAGGCUAUUACCCUGUGAAAGUGGAAUUUUAAAAGAGCCAACCCCAAACAAACCUAUACUAAUCCCCACUUGGCUGGCUUUCCCCAUCACUAAUGAAACCCAGGAGGGGCCUGAAGUGAGGUGUGACAAUUUGAGAGGCAGAGUGAAGAUCACAGAGGUGAGAAACGUGUCACCUCUCUUUUCAUAUCCUGAGCAGCAGAUGGGCCAGACUUGGCAGGCUCAAAGUUCCUGUGGCCAGAACAGAGUUCCCACUGCCUGAGAGCUGCACGUAGAUGGACACCAGCCAUGGUGAUGCCCCCUCCUCCAGCCUUGCCCGGCUCAGCCUUUUCAAGGGUGUCUUAGCUGAGGGCAUUCAGAUCUGACAGCCACCUUGCAGGUACCAUUUCUGAGGAACGAGGCAAAUGCAUCCACAUGAGAUGAGGUGGUGAGAAUGAGAGAUGGGGUUGAAAUCUGGAGCCUCAACUGCACGUGAAACAAGAAAGUCCUGGGGCUUGGUGGGGCCACCAGGGGAAAAUAGCCUGGGUCCUUGAAACACCGUGUGGAAGAGAGUGCUUGCCAACCACAGACACAAAUUUGGACUUCUACCUGAGCAAGAAACAGCCCAUCACCUUCUGUUAUGACAGUUUAAUCUACUUUAACUAAUAAAUGAUCCUUCUGGGAUUUCUUUAUAUUGUACUUCUGGAUUGAUUCUGCUCUUUUCUGAAUACUAUGUCUUCCUUUUGCUUGGAUGUGCUUAUUGGAGUAUUGGUCAAGUAAUUCUUUAAAGAAAGGGCAUUGAGGAAAUAAACUUUCUGAAUCUUUCAUGUAAAAAAUUCCCUAUUUCACCCUCCCUUGAUUGGUUAUAGAUUUUUUCUGGAUAUAGGAUUUUAGAUUCGAGACUAUUUUCCCUCUGGUUUCUGAAGGCAUUGCUUCAUUGUCUUCUAGCAUCCAGUAUUGCCAGAGACAUUUAUGAGAGAAAAAGUGGCAGAGGACACAAACAAAAAAUGUGCAAAAGACUAAUAUCAAUGGCCAAUACACAUAUGAGAAAAUUAUAUCGCUGGUAAAUGGGAAUCAGACCUCACUGAGAACCCAUUUUUUUCUCUAUCGGAUUGAAAUGGUAAUAGAAUAAAUAUAAACAUAAAAAUGGUAAUACUCAGCUUUGGUACAGACUGGGGAAAUGAGUAUUUUUAUAUACUGUUGAUGGGUAUAAAAAUUGCAAUGAACUCUUUGGAGGACAUAUUUGUAAUAUUCAAAAAUAAAAUUUGUUACUUUUA